AUACUUACCUGGCAGGGGAGAUACCAUGAUCACGAAGGUGGUUUUCCCAGGGCGAGGCUUAUCCAUUGCACUCCGGAUGUGCUGACCCCUGCGAUUUCCCCAAAUGUGGGAAACUCGACUGCAUAAUUUGUGGUAGUGGGGGACUGCGUUCGCACUUUUCCCUG
rnacentral:snRNA from 1 species